rnacentral:rRNA from 1 species
GACGAACGCUGGCGGCGUGCUUAACACAUGCAAGUCGAACGGAAAGGCCCUGCUUUUGUGGGGUGCUCGAGUGGCGAACGGGUGAGUAACACGUGAGUAACCUGCCCUUGACUUUGGGAUAACUUCAGGAAACUGGGGCUAAUACCGGAUAGGAGCUCCUGCUGCAUGGUGGGGGUUGGAAAGUGUCGGCGGUGGGGGAUGGACUCGCGGCUUAUCAGCUUGUUGGUGGGGUAGUGGCUUACCAAGGCUUUGACGGGUAGCCGGCCUGAGAGGGUGACCGGCCACAUUGGGACUGAGAUACGGCCCAGACUCCUACGGGAGGCAGCAGUGGGGAAUAUUGCACAAUGGGCGGAAGCCUGAUGCAGCAACGCCGCGUGCGGGAUGACGGCCUUCGGGUUGUAAACCGCUUUCGCCUGUGACGAAGCGUGAGUGACGGUAAUGGGUAAAGAAGCACCGGCUAACUACGUG